rnacentral:lncRNA from 1 species
UGUAGCCAGUGGUUGCGGCUCCCUCAGUCUGGCGUCAUCUAGGUCGCUGCUCAGGGAAAUGCGGAGGCCAGUAGGCUUACGUGUUUACCGCGUAGGGCAAAGCCUUGCCAAAUUCCCGGCCAGCGGAGCGGCGAGGGUGGGGACUCACGGGAAGUUAAACAGCCUCGUCGGCGUCCUCGUCGGCGUCCUCGCGGCUCCAAAACCAGGCUCUAGGCGGGGACGACUGCAGCCGUUAUGGAGGCCACCGCGGCUACGGCCGCGGCUGAGGCCUCCCCAGGUGGAGCGGUGGCCUGGAGGGGAAUCUUGAUCCUGGGCCAGCCACCUGUCAAGAGGAGGCGGAGCGUCAUGCCCCUGGAAGACUGGAUGAAUAUUCUCCAGGAGCCUGACGAAGGCGUGAGUAAUAGGGACGUGCGCCGCCUUGUUGGUGUUGAUCAGUCCACCAAGGAGAAGCAGCUGGGCGCGGUGGCCGUACCUGUAAUCCCAGCGCUUUGGGAGGCCGCGGCGGGAGGAUCGCUUGAGCCCGGGAGUUCGAGACCAGCCUGGGCAACAUAGUGAGAAACCCAUCUCUACCAAAAAGAAAAAAAAAAAAAAAAAAAAAAGGAAAAAAAUUAGUGUGGUGUGGUGGCACGCACCUGUAGUCCCAGCUACUCGGGAGGCUGAAGCGGGAGGGUCCCCUAAGUCUAGGAGGUCGAGGCUGCAGUGAGCGGUGAUUGUGCCACUGCACUCCAGCCUGGGCGACAGAGCAAGACCCUGCUUUCCCCUCUUGUCCUCCACUCCCCUCAGAAAACCAAGAAAGACUAGCGUGGAGAGUUGGUCGCCCAUCUGCUCUAAGCUGCUGUGUAUUCCCCUGUAAUGUAAACAUCGUGAAGGUGGAGACCCAGUUAACCUUUUAGGUGGAAGGCCAGAUGACAGGGCGACAUCUGACCCGGAAGGCCGUCUGCAACCAGGCCAAAUACAUCUACAGGGAACCAAUGGGAAACAUCUGGGGAGGACAACCCAAAUAAGUAUCAUGCGAGCAAGGGAUGGUUUGAGAACUUUAAAAAUCGCUGCUGUUUUGCAACAUACGAAGUUGAUGGGGAGGAAGGACCCUUAAAUCCUGAGUGGGUAUCGAGUAUUCCAAGCAACUGGAGAGAGGCUUUGUGCCUCAACAGGUCUUCAACGCCAAGGAGAUGACCCAUCUUUUGCAGUGCAUGCCUUCCUACUUUUGGGGCAAAAGACAAAAAUCUGGAAAGCUUAGAGGAAGCUAAGGACAGGAUUUCCCUCAUUUUUUUGUGGCAGUGCCUCAGGUGACAAAAUGAUAAAAACCACUGCUGCUUUACAAAGACUCUAAUACCCCACUUGUCUUUUAGAGAUAAACGCCUUCCUGUUUUCUUGUAAUCACACCCGGAAUCACCACUGCCACUUUUUGGAUUAGUUUUACAACUUUUUUAUCCAUCAAGUCCGAAGUCAUUUAACAAAAAAAAUCUGGAAAUCAGAAUGUUGCUAACUGUGGACAGAGGUCCCAAUCACCCAGAUUCAUUAUUCUUUGUUCAUUCUAAUGUUGAUACUGUGUUUCUCCCUCAGGAAGGCCCUAGCUUUCUUCAGCCCUUGGGUCAGGGUAUAACUGAAGCAUUUGAACAUAAUCAAGCAUAUGUUUGACCACUUUGCUGACUGUAUUGAAAAAACCCUCACCUUACUCUGAAAGAAGCAUGGCAACAGUACAAUAUUGCCGAUGCUUUGGUAGUGAUAAAAGAGGUGAUGGGUGAUAUAAAAUCAGCCACUCUUAAGCUUGCUGGAAACUGUGGGAGGAUGUGUGAAUGAUGCAUAUUUCCCUAGAGCUAAUGAAGAAGUUAAAAAAAAUCUUAGUGUCUGCAAAACAGGUGGGUUUAAGAUUUAUUGAUAUUAGGGAAAGUGAAAUUAAUGAGCUACUCAAGUUUCUGUCUUUGGUCAUCACUGAGAGUCUAUUUCCAUAGGAAGAAGUCUUUGCAGAGGAAAUUGAAUGCUGUCUGAUGCUACAAUUCAUAUGGAUCCUUUCCUGGAUUGAAGCCUGACUUUUAAAAACAGUUUCAAUAAAUUGCUUAUACCUAUGAAGAGAUGCAAAAGAACCUUCCAAAUAAAGCAAAGGACUUGAAGAAAGAGAAGGAAGACAUGAAGAAGAGGAUGUCAUUUAGGUGAAGGUGAUGGAUACAGAAUCUGAGUCUGAGGGGAGCCUGGUUGACAGACAGACAAAAAAAGAAAUUUUUUUUUUUCUGACAAAAAAAAAAAGGAAAUUUUGUUAACAAAAUCAAGAAUUUUAAAAAAAUGCUGUGAGAGCUGAUCUAUGCAUCUGGUUUGUGAGCCAGUAUUCUGUGAUGGCUGCAGUUUUGAGAGAUCCUAGUAGCUCUACACAUCUGUCUUCUGCUUUCCUAGAACCUGGGCACCCCAUGGAUGACUCACUGCUGGUUUUGGGCUGUACAUCCUUUUGAAAUCCCAGAGAUCUUCAGUCUCCCUGUGGAUUAAGGAGAUGUGCAGUAUUUAAAGUGGCUUCAGGAAGGCAUGGAAGAGGACUGAGUGGGGAAAGCUUUUUGUGCAUGCUGCUGGCUACCUCCAGCAGCUGCCUCCAGCCUCCAUCAGCUGCACUCUGGGGAAGAGGAGGCUGCCUUCUACCUCCCAGCAUCUCUGGAUUUCAUGUUCCUGUCAGCACAGAGGAGCUAAAUGGCCUGUAGAGGCUGAAGGUCUGAGGCUCCUAAAGCUGGAAGAAAAGGCUGGGCCAGUCAGGCCAAGCAAGAACACAGUGUAACUUGUCUCUGAGUGCUUCAUGUUUAAGGGCACUAAGCAGGCACAAGGGCAUGAGGAUGGUUAUAUGUACAGACUGAGGGGAAGAAGCAGUGAGGAUGAGACUUGCCAUGUUCUUGAGUCAGUAGGCCUGCCUCAGGUGCCUAGGAUGUAAUUGCUCUGCUGCUUCUCAUGGGGAGGAGUGGCCCUCAUGACCUUGUUUACCUGGAAGAGUGUGGGAUGAAUGCCUCCUCCUAUGGGGACUGGCAAGUGCUUUAGCAAAAGGAUAAAUUGCUAAUUGUGGCAUUUCGUGGAUCAGCAGGAUUAUUUCUCCUUGCUAAAGAGGAUUUUGUUGGUCCUGAAUUCUGAAGAGGUGGGACUAGGAAUGGGCUCCAUGAGCCUGUGUAUGACUCAGGGAAUAUUAGGACUUUGGCACAGCCUCAUGGGUUGGGAGUAAGUCUUGGCUCUUCCCUAGCCUGAAUGACAGACAUCAGAUCAUUCUGGUGCUUUGUCCAGAUGUAGAUUCUGAGCCCACCCAACUAACCUUUUCACUUGAGCACAGAAACAGCCCCGGGAAUCGGACAGACCCCUGUCUUUCAGGUUUGCUUCACAGAGCCCCAGGGGUUGACAAUAGGUGCCUUGGAGACUGCCUGCAUGGGGAUUUUUAAAAAGCUUUCUUUGUUAAAGGUUUGUAAACCGCUCCUCUGAGCCUGUUUUCAUUUUAUAGAUUAUUCAGGGAACUGAACUGCACAGAGAUCCAGAAACUGGGUAGUGCAGGCUGUAGUGCUGAUAACUACUGUACUACUUGGAUCUUUGUGCUCCCAAAUACCAAAUGGAAGAGGAUCUCUGAGAGUCCUUUGCAAAGAUCUUGUAGGGACUUUAGGCUGGGGCCUUCGGAAAAUUCCAGAGGAUUCCAAUGGAGAUUUUGAGGGACUGACUCAGAAGAACAAAGAGAAUGAUAAUGGUGAUGUCCCUGCUUUUUACAACAGAUCAUGUUCUGAUAUAUAUGCAAAUCUGUGUAAAGUAAACCCUACCUAAAAUGUACUGGGGACCCAAGAUGGACUGCCUGUAUUGCUUCCAGGAUAAAGUCCAAUUUCUAGCUCUGGUUUUUAUAACCUUGCUUCAGCUCACCUUUUCCGUCAUCAUCCCCUCCAUCUCCUCUCCCACGCUGGGAAAUGGAUGGCUGCACUAUACUGUGUGAUGUUAUUGCUAUGUUCAUGCCAUCCCCUCUGCCUGGAAUGCCCUUCUGCAUGAAUGCCUGUGAAAUGUUGUUGCUCCUUUGUAUGGCCUGGCUUCCGUGGUUGGCAGGAAUCUCUUCUUUCGUGGUAUUCCUGUCAUCUUUGUGCAUCACAGUCAGCUUUGUAUUCCUAGCUUGUAAGCUACUUGAGGAUAGGGGCAUGUCUGAAUCUAUUUAAUCUCUUGCACCUGUUUGGCAAAUUGAUGUUUUAAGUAUUUAAAUAACUAAAGCUCUCUCUACAGUACAUACUCACUUUUGAUUUAUGGAAUUGGCAAAAUUCAACUUUUUUCCUUGAAUAUUCUUAAAGUGAGACGAAUUCCAAAGGAGAGUGUUCUGUGUGUGGCCUUCAUUGAGUGGUUUUCUGUUACCAGAAAGCUCUUGGUGGCCUUCCUCUUCCCUGGUGUCAAGGUUGACUGUUAUAGGAAAUGGGAGGGGAGAGAGCCGUUUCUGCCACGCAUUGUCCUAGGUUCUUAACAUUAUUUAAUCCUUAUAAUGCAAUGUUAUCCUCAUUUUACAGAUGAAACCUGAGACCAAAGAACAUGUAACACAUAAAGUACAUUGCAGUUAGGAUGUGAACCCAACUCUGAUUCUAAACCUAAUGCUCUCACUCUUUCAUUCAGAGGUUCAGUCAGUUCUUUGUAGGCUGUAGAUCCAGAGAAGCUGCCGUAGCCAACAAUAAAGUUGUUAGUUUUUAAAACAUCUAUGUGGUAAGUUGGUCUGGCACUUAAAAAUGUAUUGUUUCCCGGGCACGGUGGCUCACACCUGUAAUCCCAGCAUUUUGGGAGGCUGAGGCAGGCGGAUCAUUAGGUCAAAAGAUUGAGACCAUCCUGACCAACAUGGUGAAACCCCGUCUCUACUAAAAGUACAAAAAUUAGCUGGGUGUGGUGGUGCAUGCCUCUAGUCCCAGCUACUUGGGAGGCUGAGGCAGGAGAAUUGCUUGAACCCAGGAGGCAGAGGUUGCAGUGAGCCAAGAUCAUGCUACUGCACUACAGCCUGGCAACAAAGCGAGACUCUGUCUAAAAAAAAAAAAAUAUAUAUAUAUAUAUAUAUAUAUAUUGUUUACUACUCACCACAGAUCUGCAGGAGUUCACUGAUCUCUAGGAUCUGCUUUAACUCCAACUUACAUGUUUUGGUCACUAUUACAAACUGUCAUCCCAGAAUGAUGCUGCAGAGGCUAGGGCUAGGACACAGACCAGUGUUUCCAUGUGGGAAUUCCCUCCCAGUAUUUCUUAGGAAAUGUAUGUUUUUUGAAUCCAUAAUCCCUAGAAAAAUCAGUUGAGGAAAUGAGAAGUAUUGUAAUUAUUCUGUGAAUAGUAACACUUACCAUUAUGGAGACAUCACUAGUUUGAAAGAAUCCAACUUCAUCAAAUACUAACGUACCGAGUUGAAGGCUACAAGAACUGAGACAGGAGCAUAGCAGAGAGAAACGGUCACCAUCUCAUUAGCCCUAUUUUUGGUUGUUGUGAUGCCAUUACAUCUGUAUAUCUGGCCAUAUCAGCUGCUAAUGGUGAGUUCUUGCAAACAAAAUGAUUUGAUAAACAACCUACCAUACUUUAUACAAAUCUUAUGGUGUUCCAAGAAAUAAACUUUG